CAUUGAUAUCAAGACUGGCCUGAUC
rnacentral:piRNA from 1 species